GGAGAGAUGCAUCAAUCUGUUCCACUGUCUGAAUGAACUGAAUGACCAUUCUCUAGUGGAGGAAAUCCAAAGCUACCUGAGAUCAGGAAGUCUCUCAAAAUCUAAACUCUCAUCUGGACAGUGGUCAGCUCUGGUCUUCAUGUUGCUGACCUCAGAGAAGCUGGAUGUGUUUGACCUGAAGAAAUAUAUCAGAUCAGAUGCGGCUCUUCUCAAACUUCUCCCAGUUGUCAGAUCCUCUAGAACAGCCCUGCUGAACGAAUGUAAACUCACCAAGAAAAGCUGAGGCACUGGCUUCUGUUCUCAAAUCAAACUCAUGCUGUCUGAGACUGCUGGACAUGAGUGGCAAUAAACUCCAGGAUUCAGGAGUGAAGCUGCUCUCUGCUGGACUGGAGGAUCCACACUGUAAACUGGAGACAUUGAAGUUGAAUGAUUGCAACCUAACUGAGAAAUCCUGUGAGGUGUUGGCUUCAACUCUCAGCUCAAACACCUCAAGUUUGAGAGAGCUUGACCUGUGAGGAAAUGAACUCCAGG